GAUGAAGAACGUAGCGAAAUGCGAUAAGUAAUGCGAAUUGCAGAAUUUCCGUGAAUCAUCGAAUCUUUGAACGCACAUUGCGCCCGCCAGCACUCUGGCGGGCAUGCCUGUUCGAGCGUCAUUUCAACCAUCAAGCCCCAGGCUUGCGUUGGAGCCCUGCGGCUGCCGCAGCCUCCUAAAAGCAGUGGCGGGCUCGCUAUCACACCGAGUGCAGUAGAUUACUCUUCGCUCAGGGCGUGCAGCGGGUUCCGGCCGUGAAACCCCCUACUUUUAAAGGUUGACCUCGGAUCAGGUAGGAAUACCCGCUGAACUUAAGCAUAUCAAUAAGCGGAGGA
rnacentral:misc_RNA from 1 species